rnacentral:rRNA from 1 species
UACGUAGGGUGCGAGCGUUAAUCGGAAUUACUGGGCGUAAAGGGUGCGCAGGCGGUUUGUUAAGCUUGAUGUGAAAGCCCCGGGCUUAACCUGGGAACGGCAUUGAGGACUGGCAGACUAGAGUGUGGCAGAGGGGGGUGGAAUUCCAGGUGUAGCAGUGAAAUGCGUAGAUAUCUGGAGGAACACCGAUGGCGAAGGCAGCCCCCUGGGCUAACACUGACGCUCAGGCACGAAAGCGUGGGGAGCAAACAGG